rnacentral:ncRNA from 19 species
AGUUGUAGUCCAUCUGUUUUAAUAUUUUUACCCUUUUUGGGUUGAUGUUUUAUUUCUACACACAGCAGUGCAACAUCUGUCAGUACUUCUGGUGCCU